AACGAACGCUGGCGGCAUGCCUAACACAUGCAAGUCGAACGAGACCUUCGGGUCUAGUGGCGCACGGGUGCGUAACGCGUGGGAACCUGCCCUUAGGUUCGGAAUAACUCCCCGAAAGGGGUGCUAAUACCGGAUAAUGUCCUCGGACCAAAGAUUUAUCGCCUUUGGAUGGGCCCGCGUUGGAUUAGCUAGUUGGUAGGGUAAAAGCCUACCAAGGCGACGAUCCAUAGCUGGUCUGAGAGGAUGAUCAGCCACACUGGGACUGAGACACGGCACAGACUCCUACGGGAGGCAGCAGUGGGGAAUAUUGGACAAUGGGCGAAAGCCUGAGCCAGAAAUGCCGCGUGAGUGAUGAAGGCCUUAGGGUUGUAAAGCUCUUUUACCCGGGAUGAUAAUGACAGUACCGGGAGAAUAAGCUCCGGCUAACUCCGUG
rnacentral:rRNA from 1 species